rnacentral:rRNA from 1 species
CAGCCGCCGCGGGAAUACGUAGGUCCCGAGCGUUGUCCGGAUUUAUUGGGCGUAAAGCGAGCGCAGGCGGUUAGAUAAGUCUGAAGUUAAAGGCUGUGGCUUAACCAUAGUACGCUUUGGUAACUGUUUAACUUGAGUGCAAGAGGGGAGAGUGGAAUUCCAUGUGUAGCGGUGAAAUGCGUAGAUAUAUGGAGGAACGCCGGUGGCGAAAGCGGCUCUCUGGCUUGUAACUGACGCUGAGGCUCGAAAGCGUGGGGAGCAAACAGGAUUAGAUACCCCGGUAGUCCCUGUCUCUUAUACA